CUUUAAUAUAUAGCACGGCAUGCACAUCGAUACAAAUAUCCCCGUAAGUGUUUAUCUUUGAUAAAUACACAAAUAUGUAUACCAAUAGGAAAAUCUUCAAGAGUGCUUACAAGAUCAUACAUAUACAACCGAACAUAUAACUAUUAAUUCUUGAGAUGAGUUGCAAAUAUUGAUUACAAACAUGCAAGAAAGUUAUACAUUUUCACUCUCUAAGUUAUAUUUGUUGUAUUAUUGGUUCAUUUGUAGUAACGUAUAUGUAGUUUGAACCUUUGUUUACCUAUAAAUCUUAUUUGACAUUUAUUUAUACGACGAUAUAUUUACAAUAAGAGGUUGCAAGAAUAAAUUAGUAUCAAAUUCGUCAUUAACAAGAUUUGAACUUAAAACCUCUAAUUUACAAGUGGAUAGAAAUAUCUCUAGACCGUCAUACUAAGUGAUCAUCCCUACCUAACACUUAUACAUGCAAAUCUGACCUUGAUUAUAUUACACAUACAAAAUUGUAAUUCAAAUUUGAAAUUUCUUUAAAUCAACCAAUAUAAAUAAUAUUUUAAAAAUAUCAAGUUUUUAAAAUUUUUAUUGAAUAUAUUAAACCAUAUAUUCAACAUUAACUUAAAUUAUAAAGAGAUUUCAAAUGAAUCACCUAAUUGUUAAUUAACAAAUAAUUAGUAAAACCAAUUUCAUGAACAUUUUCGAUCAUGUGCAUCUCCACUCAAACUAUUGUGUUUGAGUUUCGAAAUCAAUUAUUUAGCAUGCAUUCAUGUCAUCCACGUACUUUAUUGUUCAUUACGUU
rnacentral:lncRNA from 1 species